AGAGUUUGAUCCUGGCUCAGGAUGAACGCUAGCGGCAGGCCUAAUACAUGCAAGUCGAGGGGUAACGCGGUAGCAAUACUGGCAACGACCGGCGCACGGGUGCGUAACGCGUAUGCAAUUUGCCCAUAACAAGGGGAUAGCCCGGAGAAAUCCGGAUUAAUACCCUAUAAUAUAGUGGAUAGGCAUCUAUUUACUAUUAAAGAUUUAUCGGUUAUGGAUGAGCAUGCGUCUGAUUAGCUAGUUGGUGAGGUAAUGGCUCACCAAGGCGACGAUCAGUAGGGGGUCUGAGAGGAUGAUCCCCCACACUGGUACUGAGAUACGGACCAGACUCCUACGGGAGGCAGCAGUAGGGAAUAUUGGGCAAUGGACGAGAGUCUGACCCAGCCAUGCCGCGUGUAGGAAGAAGGCUUUCUGAGUUGUAAACUACUUUUGAUUGGGAACAAAAGAUCCUUGCGAGGAGCAUUGAGUGUACCAAUAGAAUAAGCACCGGCUAACUCCGUGCCAGCAGCCGCGGUAAUACGGAGGGUGCAAGCGUUGUCCGGAUUUAUUGGGUUUAAAGGGUGCGUAGGCGGCUAAUUAAGUCAGCGGUGAAAUUCCACAGCUCAACUGUGUGAACUGCCAUUGAUACUGGUUGGCUUGAGUACAGAUGAGGUAGGCGGAAUUGACAGUGUAGCGGUGAAAUGCUUAGAUAUUGUCAAGAACACCUAUUGCGAAGGCAGCUUACUAAACUGUAACUGACGCUGAGGCACG
rnacentral:rRNA from 1 species